UUUCGAUUGCAAUUACCUUAGGCAAGGCUACGGCGUAGGGCCCCAAACAACGCUAAGAAAUCUCACUUUGACUCUCCCAUACCAGUAAGCCCUCCGUUCCAUCUCUGUUCGAGAUGCCGAUUGUUGAAUACGGGAACGUCUGGAACUCCCUACCGUUGCCUUGAUGGAAAUCAUCAUCGUUCUCUUCGUGAAUUAUGACUUUGUAUCAACUAGCAUAAUUCGCCGUGGAAGAAGUGAGGAAAAAAACCAACACUUAGCCAAGGCGCUCAUGCAUGGAAUUACUGCACGUCUCUCCAUUCAUCGAACACCCACUAAUAAAUAAAUGGAGGUGAUUGGCCAUGGGGCAGUUCUGACUAUUCAAGCCCUCACAGCCGACGGCGCA
rnacentral:sRNA from 2 species